GAAGAUAAUAAAUAAAUAAAUCCCGAAGGACGAAGCAGAUUCAGAUUCAUAGUACUUGGUUGGAGAUAGGACAUGCAGCCGUCAGGCAGGAAUAAUCAAAGCAGCAAACUUCAUUCCGUGGACUGCGUCUGACCAAAACGACGGCGUCAACAUCAAUCCAUUCUUCAUAGCGGAGGAGAUCGAGAGAGCCCGGCGAAAGCGAGAGACAGUCGGAGGAGUUAGAAAUGGUAAUUGAAGGGACCCCAGCAGCGCGUGGAUAUCACAUGCCUGCAGAGUGGGAGCGUCAUUCUCGGUGCUGGAUGGGUUGGCCUUUUGUGAUUCGACAUGGAUUCUCUCUGUCGGGCGACGGGUUUCGUCUGGUUUUGUCUAUAAGGAUUCUGUUGUCAGAUCAAUUCGAAUGCUAUCCAUCUGUUCGAUGAUUUUCCCUCGUUUAUGUCUUCGAUAAUAAUCAUACCCUUGUUUUCGAGAGAAUUUAUACGACUUCGAUUAGCUGCAAUGUUCUCUCUUUGUCUCUCUCUAUAGCCUAAUCAAAUUGCUGUCGUA